rnacentral:rRNA from 1 species
GACGAACGCUGGCGGCGUGCUUAACACAUGCAAGUCGAGCGGUAAGGCCCUUCGGGGUACACGAGCGGCGAACGGGUGAGUAACACGUGGGUGACCUGCCUUUAGCUCUGGGAUAAGCCUGGGAAACUGGGUCUAAUACCGGAUAUGACCUCAUGACGCAUGUUGUGGGGUGGAAAGCCUUGUGCGGCUAGAGAUGGGCCCGCGGCCUAUCAGCUUGUUGGUGGGGUGANGGCCUACCAAGGCGACGACGGGUAGCCGGCCUGAGAGGGCGACCGGCCACACUGGGACUGAGACACGGCCCAGACUCCUACGGGAGGCAGCAGUGGGGAAUCUUGCGCAAUGGGCGAAAGCCUGACGCAGCGACGCCGCGUGA